GUUCAGAGGCCUUUGACAAUAAACUCCCGACCACGAUGUUCCAGGACCGGGAUGGACAAACUUCUGCCACUGGACCAAAUGUGGCUUGCCACUUUUUGUGUCCAUAAAUCAGGUGAUUUUGGAAGGAAACCACGCUUCUUCGUUUACAGAGUUGCUUUUGCACUAUGAGGGCAGAGUUGAAUAGUUGUGACAUCAACCAUGCAGCCUGCAAAGCCGAAAAUAUUUGCUGUCUGGCCCUUUAGAGAAGUUUGUGAUCUCCUGUCCUAGGAAAAACCACGUGUCUGCGACAGAGACUUGUGGGGAGGGUCUCAUCACUGGUUGCCAGGAGAAAUAUCAAUAACCUCAGAUACGCAGAUGACACCACCC